GAAGGUCCGGGCGUUAUCCGGAUUUAUUGGGUUUAAAGGGAGCGCAGGCCGCCCCUUAAGCGUGUUGUGAAAUGCCGCGGCUCAACCGUGGCACUGCAGCGCGAACUGGGGGGCUUGAGUGCGCCGGAGGUAGGCGGAAUUCGUGGUGUAGCGGUGAAAUGCUUAGAUAUCACGAAGAACUCCGAUUGCGAAGGCAGCCUACCGUAGCGUUACUGACGCUGAGGCUCGAAGGUGCGGGUAUCGAAC
rnacentral:rRNA from 1 species